CACAUAAAUAAAUUCAAGGACUUGCAUGAUGUGUCUUGGACCAUGGCGAAUGGAGAAUCUAAAGACCUACUGUAUAGGCAACACAAUUCAUGAUUGUUUCGUUCUCCUACUUUCUUUGGGAUUGCCGGAGGAGUGACUGACAGUGACUGUGUGUACUCUGUCCUGCCCCUCUACCAUUCCCAUGGCCUCGCACACGGUGGAGGGCCUAUGAUCUACACAGGAGCCACUCUCAUCAUUAGGAAAAAGUUCUCUGCCAAACACUUUUGGACCGAUAUUGCAAAGUACAACUGCACUAUGGUGUGCACGAUUGGGAAGUUGAAUCGCUACGUGUUGGUCCAACUCCCUGGCUGUAUCUGAAACUUGACCCCUUCGAGGAGCAUGACGAGAGGUUUGUCCAUGUUGCCCAGCUGAGACAAGAAGGUCUGGAGGCGGCCAGGCGUUCAGGGGCAGACUACCUCUUUCGGCUAGACUGUGACAACUUUCUGGUGAACAACAGGACACUACGGAUUCUGAUGGAUCAGCAAAGAGUGAGAGUCAGACAACGU